ACCUCAGUAACGGCGAGUGAAGCGGUAAUAGCUCAAAUUUGAAAUCUGGCCUCUUGGGGUCCGAGUUGUAAUUUGUAGAGGAUGUUUUGGGUACCGCCCCGGUCUAAAUUUCUUGGAACAGAAUGUCAAAGAGGGUGAGAAUCCCGUCUUGGAUCGGCGGUAGGGCCUGUGUAAAACUCCUUCGACGAGUCGAGUUGUUUGGGAAUGCAGCUCAAAAUGGGUGGUAAAUUUCAUCUAAAGCUAAAUAUUGGCCAGAGACCGAUAGCGCACAAGUAGAGUGAUCGAAAGAUGAAAAGCACUUUGAAAAGAGAGUUAAACAGUAUGUGAAAUUGUUGAAAGGGAAGCGCUUGCAACCAGACUUGAGCGCGGCGGUUCCCCCGGUCUUUUGGCCGGGCUACUCCGUCGUGUCCAGGCCAACAUCGGUUCUGAGGGUCGGUCAAAGGCCUUGGGAAUGUAUCUACCCACGGGUAGACUUAUAGACCAGGGUGUCAUGCGGCCUCUCGGGACCGAGGAACGCGCUUCGGCUCGGAUGUUGGCGUAAUGGUUGUCAGCGACCCGUCUUGAAACACGGACCAAGGAGUCUAACAUCUAUGCGAGUGUUUGGGUGUCAAACCCGGAACGCGAAAUGAAAGUGAACGGAGGUAGGAAGCUUCGGCUGCACUAUCGACCGAUCCUGAAGUUUACGGAUGGAUUUGAGUAAGAGCAUAGCUGUUGGGACCCGAAAGAUGGUGAACUAUGCCUGAAUAGGGUGAAGCCAGAGGAAACUCUGGUGGAGGCUCGCAGCGGUUCUGACGUGCAAAUCGAUCGUCAAAUUUGGGUAUAGGGGCGAAAGACUAAUCGAACCAUCUGGUAGCUGGUUCCUGCCGAAGUUUCCCUCAGGAUAGCAGUAACGUUUUCAGUUUUAUGAGGUAAAGCGAAUGAUUAGAGGCCUUGGGGUUGAAACAACCUUAACCUAUUCUCAAACUUUAAAUAUGUAAGAAGUCCUUGUUACUUAAUUGAACGUGGACAUUUGAAUGUACCGUUACUAGUGGGCCAUUUUUGGUAAGCAGAACUGGCGAUGCGGGAUGAACCGAACGUGAGGUUAAGGUGCCGGAAUGCACGCUCAUCAGACACCACAAAAGGUGUCAAUGCAUCUAGACAGCCGGACGGUGGCCAUGGAAGUCGGAAUCCGCUUAGGAGUGUGUAACAACUCACCGGCCGAAUGCAUUGGCCCUGAAAAUGGAUGGCGCUUAAGCGUGCUACCUAUACCUCGCCGUUAGGGUUGACAUGAUGCCCUAACGAGUAGGCAGGCGUGGAGGUCCGUGACGAA
rnacentral:rRNA from 1 species